rnacentral:rRNA from 1 species
GACGGGUGAGUAUGACUAGGAAUCUGCCUGGUAGUGGGGGACAACGUUUCGAAAGGAACGCUAAUACCGCAUACGUCCUACGGGAGAAAGCAGGGGACCUUCGGGCCUUGCGCUAUCAGAUGAGCCUAGGUCGGAUUAGCUAGUAGGUGAGGUAAUGGCUCACCUAGGCGACGAUCCGUAACUGGUCUGAGAGGAUGAUCAGUCACACUGGAACUGAGACACGGUCCAGACUCCUACGGGAGGCAGCAGUGGGGAAUAUUGGACAAUGGGCGAAAGCCUGAUCCAGCCAUGCCGCGUGUGUGAAGAAGGUCUUCGGAUUGUAAAGCACUUUAAGUUGGGAGGAAGGGCAGUAAGUUAAUACCUUGCUGUUUUGACGUUACCGACAGAAUAAGCACCGGCUAACUCUGUGCCAGCAGCCGCGGUAAUACAGAGGGUGCAAGCGUUAAUCGGAAUUACUGGGCGUAAAGCGCGCGUAGGUGGUUCGUUAAGUUGGAUGUGAAAUCCCCGGGCUCAACCUGGGAACUGCAUCCAAAACUGGCGAGCUAGAGUAUGGUAGAGGGUGGUGGAAUUUCCUGUGUAGCGGUGAAAUGCGUAGAUAUAGGAAGGAACACCAGUGGCGAAGGCGACCACCUGGACUGAUACUGACACU